GGAUGUGAGGGCGAUCUGGCUGCAACAUCUCUCACUCCAUUGCUCACCAGGAUUGAUCUGGCUGACCUGGUUGGCUAGGCUGGUAUCCCCCCUUCCUCCCUCACCACUCCAUAAGCUGGGUGGAAGACAAUAACUGUUUUCCAGUGAAGGGUAUACGAGUGGCUGUGUUCUCCUAAUAGAACCUCCAAACAAGUUCUCAAGGACAAAUGAGCAUGAAACCAACCGAGGGUAUACGUACAAGGAUAAUGGGAAUUCACAAGUAAUUACUGAAAUAA
rnacentral:snRNA from 1 species